CACCUGGCUCCACACCCAGGCGUUCAGCUGGCCCUGUCCUGCAGCUGUAGCCGAGCAGUAGGACUUGCUGUGGGAGCAGCUGGAUGCAAUUUUGCUUAACGUUUGCACUAAUAGGGAGGGCACAAAACUUUUCAAUUUGCUUCAACACAAACCACUUUGAGAGAAGUAAUUCUGCUGAAGCAGAAUUACUGCUGAAAAACACGGGGUGGGGGCGAGCAUGUGAAGGGACAGCCCUGCAGCCAUGCUGCUGGCUUUAUCCUUUUUUUCUGGUUCUGCAGCCCAAGAGAGUAGGAGCUCAUGUGGGUGGCCUUCCAUGGAUGUUGCCAGAGCUCUGGGUGAGCUUUCAGACAACCCCACGCCUUUAAGGGUAACAAGCUUUAAGAAAGCCCCAAAGCUGCUGCCCCAGGUGCUGCUACCACUGCUCCAGCCCAGCUUCAUCGCUGCAGUCCUGCAGCCUCUGGGCUGCCUCGGUAAUUCCAGGCAGGUGCCCACACAGCUACAAGUGCAAUUUCUCAUCCAGAGAACAUACAGAUAUAACACAGAGCAUGGUGACAGUGGGGACAGAUGCUUCAGAGGUAAUACCCUGGGCCUGGAGAAGCACGAGGUUUGCUGGUGGCCCUGAACUGCAUCCUGCUGCCCAGGGGCAGGGGCAGGAAGGGCUCUGGGCAGCUCAGCUGAUGCCCUAGCACAGCUGGGAGUAGGUCCACAAGGAGGGUGCCACAGACAAGUGCAAUCAACGUGGAGGAAAACAUCUCUCCUCUGCAGGGAAGAGCUGGGGAAAGGCAGAGGUCCUUGCAGACCCACCAGCAGCAUUACCAGUUAGUCUGCGUGUAUCUUAAGGUCUGGACACCUCAUUAAGCUUUGUCAAAUGAUUGCAAAUUCAGGAUCUUCUUUGUGUGACAUUUUUUUAUCAUGUUUGUGACAAAAAAGCAAAACAGAUUUAGUAAAAGUUCAGAGAAUGAUCAAGCAAACAAGGAAAUCACCACUUUCAACACUUUAUGUAAACAGUGUCACCCAGGUCAUGCACCAGACAGACGUGGUUAAAGCCAGGCUCGGUGCCCACACAGCUUAGCUCCUGGACUUGUUUCUUUGGCUUUCCCCUUUCACAGGAUGGACUCUAGCAGUAGAUGAAAUUAGAAGUUCAAGCACAGUGCAUAGUCUUUCAGAAACUCUGCAGAGCUAUUACCUGAGUCACUGCCAAAGCUUUGAACUGGAGACUAAAAGCACGAGGGCUGAUGCUUUCCGGCAGAAGAAGAAUGGACUACCCCAUGGACUGACACGGAUUCAACAGUACUGAGGGAAUUCCACUUGCUUUAAAAUUAUUUCUGCACAGAGGAGGAGCUAGAGAGGAAGAGGUGACCCAGAUACAAAGAGUCAUAGUAUAGUACCAUGCAUAUGUUCUGGAGUCUCUCUCCUUUGUCCUACUGCUUCAGGGCCCAAUAUUAAGGAACGUGCAAAUGCAUGGCUGCAUGCUGUAGUAGUAAAGACUGAAGCUUAACUUGAGAGUGUACGUGACCUGAAACACCAGUGAGGUACAAUCAUUACCCUUCGCUAUCCUGAUAGAGAUGUGAUUAUUCUAAAUGCAUUCAUAAACUGAACCUUGGCAAACAGGAGGGCUUUGCCAAAUUCAGAGCUCUCCCUGUACUCCCGGAGCUGUGUAGUCACACCACUCCUGCAAACAGAGGCGCACGUAGGAGGAGUGUCACUGCACAAUCCUCCUCUGGCUUUGCGCAACAAAGGAGGGGAAAAGACUGGGAAAUUAAGUCUAUGUUGUUAAAUGAAAGCCAGAAUACUUCCUUACCUACAGAGUCCUGGAGCAGAUGCGUGAGUUUGCUGUUUCGGUAGGGGACGUGAGAUCUUUGCUCUGCUAUCGCUCCGAGGACGUCGGCCAGGGCAGACAGGCUGCGGUUAAUGAAGGACGUCUCUCUCAGUGCUGCCCCUGUCACUCCAGACAUGCCUAACAUGUGGAGAAAAAGGCAAUGGUAAGAGCAAGUAAAGCUGCUUUGACUGUAAUCUGUGAGAAAUUCUGUUGCUGUAUCACACACUUCAGACACGAUGUUUUUAAACACAGAUUCUCAGCUGUGACUUCCAGUCCAGCCAUGCCAAAGGCAAGAUGCAGCGGUUGCUUACUGCAGAGUGCAAACCCAUUGUGCAGCGUUUCUGCUCGUCUGAAGGAAGGUUAAAAAAGGUUCAGUGCCUGCAGAUGGUUUAGAGUACCUCGUGUUGAAGCUGAUCCCUUCAGCUGUACAAUGCAUCUUGUCUCCGUAUGUAUCACAACAGGGAACUGAGAAAGUAGGAACACCGUAAGGUCGGACAAGACAGCACUGCUUUUGAAAACAGCAGGCCACGGCACCUUGGGAGAGAAGGCUGGUGUGUUCCACCAUUUUCAUAACAGCUAACUGCCCAUGCUGUAACUCUUAAGAGGAACAAGAGUGGCACUGACAGCAUUACCUGCAGAAACAGAACUGUACAGCAGCCGUACGUGUGAGAGGUUUAUGCUCACCAAAGUCUGUGAGAUGCUGUUCUUUACGGUAUCAUUUGUCAUGGUUGGUCACACAGGAAAACGAUGCCCUUUUACCAUCCACCCAGCAUGGUGGUCUGUAACUAUCUGCACUGACCUCAAACAGCACCAGAAAGGGUGUUGUCUGCUCACCGAGUUGCACCAAUUUACAAAGGCACUGUGAUCUCAACUCAUUGAUCAGUCUGGAUGAGCAUCCAUUUAAGAGUAACUUCUCCUGUCCUUAACUCAACCAUUUGGGGAAGAGAAACUUGCUAUUAGCAUUUAGCAUCCUACUAUUCAAAUUCAACCUUUCUUCAGGAUAGUGGAAGAGCUACACGUGGAUCUGCAAUCAUUUAUCACUACCCAGAGCACAGGAUCUGUGCUAGGCAGAGCUGAUGGUGGGGUCAGAAGGGGCUCACAGUUUCUUUAACUGUCUUCUGUCCCGCCUCCAGACACAGAGAGAGGCCAGGGAUCUUGCUGCCCCUUUAGAGCAGCAUUUUCCAAACUGGGAGAACAAGAGAGGUGUUCAGGAGACAAAUGUGGAAAGGUAUGGUUAGGACAAAAAUAACCACAGAAGCCAGGGCAGAGGGCUGUAGAAAUGGGGCAGGAUGGGGCUGGAAUGGUAGAGCCUCUUGGCAGAGAGGCACAGAGCAAAACCACUCAGCAAACCCUGCCACAGGGUGGACAAUAAUCUGAGAUAUAUGUACAAUGCAUCUCAGACUAACUGUAGACUUGGGUCUCUGUCUACAGCUAUCUCUAGGCUGAAGAAGGGCUCCUAAGAGAACAGCUAUCACUGUAAAGCAAAAACUGCAAAUAGGUCAGGGGGGUACACGUUUAAACCACUCGUAUCUGUGUUUGGUCAGAUGAACUUCCCCAAAGCAUUUAGCUGCUUUCAAACUGAGGCUGUUUGCUAGGAAGGGAUGACUUAGCUUGGAACUGGUGUAAGGGCUCAGGACGGCUGUGGCACCAGCAAGCCAAAGCGCUGAUGUACAUCUUAAACGUGCGUGACGGCUGCUGUACUUCUGCUCACUUAGACUUGUCUACAUUUAAAAACAACUACAAGUUAAUAGCUGCCCCCGCUUUUAUCAGAGUAAGUCUGGCAUCUUCAAAUCUCCACCAGUGCAGCCGGUGGCAGAGGUUCGUCUACCGCAUGUGCUGGUCCACAUCUAAUACUGAUGAGAGUGAGCCUGCCGAGCCCCAAACCAAGUAAAUGUUUGUCCUGGUUGAACUGAGAGAAGAAAAACCCACACAACAUUGCUCAAUUACAUGUUUACCAAACAAUUUCCAGCACUCGGAGCAAAUGAAAAAAUAAUGUAUUAUAUUAGGCUUUUCUGUAGAACAAAAGUUUAACAGUGAGGAGCAGCAAGAAUUCUUGGCAGUAAUGUAAAGGACUCUUUCAUAAUGCUAGUUCAGUUUUCAAAACAUUAUUUCUGGAAUGGUGCGUUUGGCUGCAUGGCUUUUCUUGGUAAGAAAGCUUGUCCUUUAGGAAAUAAUCAAGUUUCUGAAAUUAUUGUGUGCCUAGAGGAAGGGGGAGGAAGAAAAUGCUUUGAAGAAACAACAAAAGCAAUAUUAUCUUUUCAACACUAACUUCCUUCAAGACUUUCUCUGCACUAAGGCAGAAAAAUAGUGAUAUCAAUUAUUACAGACAUUUGUAAUAUUUAAAUAAUUUCUGCACUUUAAACAUUCCUGUACAAAGACAUGGUAAUUUUCAGAGUAGAAAAACAGGCCUAAAUAAAACCAAUCUGCACCAGUAAUAUACUUAUGAUAGGGGAAACCGCCCUGGGCUUAUUUCAGGCUAAUGCAGCCAGCUUUUUGGUUAAACUGUAUCAGCGUAAAACUGGAACAAUCGGGCCUCAAAACUUUGUUAUUUCAGGAUCUGUGUUUAAACCACCCCUGCGUGAAGGCAGGGUAGCACAUAUUUCUACACGAGGAGCUCAAUGUAAACGUUUCAAUCCCCGUGUGGGAGGAUCCAUGCCCAUCAUUCCUAACAGCUUUGUCAGAAGCGGCCACGUUUGCUUACCGACACACUCGCUGCCCGCCAGAUCCACCAGCUGCAGUCUGGUUCUGACUUGCUUUGGUUUCUCAGUUGCUUCAAGCUGUGCUGGGGAAGAGGCUCUGGAAGAAGAGGUGGAUCUAUUCUCUCUUGGUUUUUGUGGAUAGGUGCAGGAAAACUCUUUAUUUAGUCUCUGACUGAUUUGUUCAUCUUCCCAUGAAGUACCUGGUUAAUGGAAAAAACAAAUGAGAGCUUCAUAUUGGCACUGGAAAUUGAGAUGGAGAAAAAAGUGGGGCAUCAACGGGAGAAGUACAAUAUCAGGCUGUUCUAACUAAAGCAUUACAUGAGUCAGAGUCAAUGGCGUGGGCAAGCUGUAGAGCUUUUUCUAUCUUAAUUAAGGUUUUCCGUAUCGAACAGAUUGAUAACAAGACUCGGUGUAGGUUGUAUUGUAUGUAACAUCCUCACUGUUUGCACUUCAAUGUGGAAAACAAGGAACAGGAGUCCAGUAAGGACUUUAAAGAGGCACUUUUUUCAUGUUUUAGACUGACUGCAAACAAAGUGUGAUUUUGGGUGCUUGGGAGCAGUAAGUUCUGAAAUCUGUUUCUCAGCCUUUGAAACAUUCUCUGCUGGUGCUCUGGGGGGAAGAAAAGAAAAAAGAAAAAAGUUCAUCCUGCCUCUUCUGUUCUGUCUUUUGCUGUUUUUGCUGGACCUCCUUCAGCCAUCAUAGCCCACUGCUGCAUCUUCAUAUUCUUCCUCUUCCUUAGUAGCAGCAUCUAGCUUACUCUGUCUGCUGGGAAGGAGGAGGAAGACGGGUUCUCUGGAAAAGCUGCUGUGACAUCAGCUUAGCAAGAACAUGUACAAAAUGGCUUUCCCUAAAAAAAGUUUUUUCUUCAUUUUUUUUUUAAUCAUCCACACCCUUCUCUUUUGUGAAGAAAGACGUAUAAGAAAAAAGGCACACACUCUGCUAUAGGUAAUAGAGAUAAGCAACUCUCUUGAGGACUUAAGAGUCUACUUGUAAAAGUAGAAAGUUCACAGCUGCAAAACUUGAAUAAAGAGGACACUGAACUGGGCUGUAGAGCUCUGUACCUCUCCAGCUCGCCUGUUGCUAAUAGCCAGUGUAGCUGUUCACUCUGUAGAAUGGGCAGCUGUGUUGGCUUACACAAAAUAAAUGGCUUCAGGACAAUCAGUGUAAAAAUAAGUGUUCUCAGUCCUCUCCAGUUUGAGAUGAAGAAAAAAACUGACUGCUCUCCUCAAAUAAUAGGUAUUACUGAAACAAAAUGCUGGAAGACCUUCAUCAAACAUGAGAAAGUGCUUGCUUGUCAACCUGGCUUUCAGUGCAGAACUCAUCAGAGACUUUUUAUUUAGUGACUGAGGUCUCCAGUUUUGAGAUAUUUGACAAUUGCACUUGGAUUGUAAACCAGGAAUUGCUCCUUUUAAAUAGACAGAAUGCAGUGUCAAACUGCUACAGAGAUCCAUUUGCAAUGCUGCUUUCCUCCCCUGUUUUGCUCACCUUGCUCACCUGCACCCAUGCACUGUAAGCUGAAAGCCUGAGUCUGCAUUCACCACCGACUAGAGGUGUCUGUGGAGUUUUGUUAUCAGAUGCAGUAGGAUGACAGCAAUUAGAAAGGGCAAAGGGAAGCCUGGACUAGACGAGAUGGCUGGUGUGCCAGUGGUGCGAACACGCUGUGUUUUGAACAUCGUUCUGAUUGACAAGAAUCUGGAACUGGGCAGAGCUAACAUCUGGAACCAUAGAGCUGCAGCAUGUGAAGGAGCUGUGUCUUUUGGCAAGGGCCAUAGAGUAUGAAGGAGACGGACCACAGCACUGGAAACAGAGUCUAAUUACAACAUAAGCAAAAGAAAACAAAGUUAAUCCCCCAAAGCCGAAGUUAUUCCUAAAGCAAUAAACUGCACAUCAAAAAGUAACUUCCCCAAGACUAAAGCCUGCAACAAGUGCUGUUUAUGGAAGAUGGACAGAAUCUGAAACAUGAACACCAUAACCACCACUUCAGAAUUUGAGAGCCAAUGAAAGGACAACUGUGACUGCUCCUCAUCUGUUUCCCUGUCAACUUCAGUGCCACUGGCUGACACAACGCUGAGGCAGACGCGGACAGCCUGAAAGAUUCCCUGCACUGGGAGAAGAAACCUCCAGAUGGGGAUGGUGAUAAGCACCUGGGAAGCGAAAAUGUAUCCUACUACUAUAGCUACAUCCACCUGAUCUAGUACAAAAUUAUCUCUCAAGAAAAGGAGUCUUCCUGUGUUAAUUCAUAUUUUCCCA